rnacentral:rRNA from 1 species
UACGUAGGUGGCAAGCGUUAUCCGGAUUUAUUGGGUGUAAAGGGCGUGUAGGCGGGAAUGCAAGUCAGAUGUGAAAACUCAGGGCUCAACCCUGAGCCUGCAUUUGAAACUGUAUUUCUUGAGUGCUGGAGAGGCAAUCGGAAUUCCGCGUGUAGCGGUGAAAUGCGUAGAUAUACGGAGGAACACCAGUGGCGAAGGCGGAUUGCUGGACAGUAACUGACGCUGAGGCGCGAAAGCGUGGGGAGCAAACAGG